GAAGGCUAUGUUGGACCGUUGACUAAAUCCGGCAUUAGCGUGGAUGAAAAGAUGAUGAAAACAUGUUUGAAAACAUGUUUGGAGAGUCUCGGUUCGAUUUGAAAAGAAACGGAGGUCAAACGAGCGAAAACGAGCGAAAACGGAGUAAAAAAGGAUAAAGGCUGAAAAUGCUGAAAAGUUGGCUAAGUCUGGAAUUCUGG
rnacentral:lncRNA from 1 species